rnacentral:tRNA from 1 species
GACGAGGUGGCCGAGUGGUUAAGGCGAUGGACUGCUAAUCCAUUGUGCUUUACGCGCAUGGGUUCGAAUCCCAUCCUCGUCG